GAAGGAUAGGAAGUUGUUUGCUGCUUUAAUGGAACUGGAGAAGGCCUCUGACAUGGUUGACAGUUAGGGAUGUCCUGAGGGUAGGUAUAUGGUGUAGUAGGAUAUAUACUUGGAGAAGGUAUGUUUACAUGAAUGCAAGUGCCUUUGUGCAUGUGAAUAGGUACCUAAGUGAGAAAUUUGAUGUUGGUGUCAGUGCAAGAUAUCAUGGCUGUUAAAUAAUUAUAUGGAUGAUGGGAGAUAGGCGGCAUGUCUCUUUUGCAGAUGAUACAGUCACGGAUGCAGAAAAUGAGAAGACAAUGCUGAGGAUUGUUGAUGAAUUUGACUGUGGAGAUGAAAGUAAAUGUUAGCAAGAGAAAGGUUAUGAUAUCUGAGAAGACAAGAAAGUUGAAUAAUGAUUUAGCAAAGUCAUACAGAGUUGAGACAGAGAGCACAACAGAGUCUAAGAUGUGGUUUGGGGAAGAGAAAAUAAAAGUAGUGAUUGCAAUGGGAGAAGUUCUCAUUUAGGCAGUGUUCACACCAUCCACAGGUUCGUUGAUUACUUUGACAAAAAAAGUUACAUAAAUUAACAUUCAUGAGUGUCAAGACUCCUGUGAUGUGACUACUGACCAACUAACUGAGAAGUGUUAUGGUAUUGCAGGAAAACAAAUACACUGGAGAAAGUACAAGAAAUUGGCAGGACUUUCAAAGCUGCAAACAUGUGAUCCAAGUAUUUAGAAGGCAAGGCAGCUAUUACUUCUGAAAUGCAGGUACACACAGUGCAUGCACGGGGCAGUAUUCGUGGGUCGCGUCCAUCGGUCUCCUGUGCGGGGUGUUUGACGACGCACCACAUGAGAAGAACCGUCGAAGAUGAUGACUGAACAUUCCACUGCACCACCACACGCUGGCCUCAUCGCCGAGAACCUCGUCCAUCAACGCAACACUUAUCCACGGACACAAAGUCAUGAUCCACCCUUUCCACAAUGCACUAUGAAUUUUGUCCAUUUCAGUUCAUCUUCAAAACAUAAACUAACUUUACAAUCUCAAAACUGUUCAUCCCUGAAUACAAAACGUCGUGGCACCCAAAAUGAGA